GAUGAACGCUGACAGAAUGCUUAACACAUGCAAGUCUACUUGAACUUCGGUUUGGGUGGCGGACGGGUGAGUAACGCGUAAAGAACUUGCCUCACAGUUAGGGACAACAUUUGGAAACGAAUGCUAAUACCUGAUAUUAUGAUUUUAGGGCAUCCUAGGAUUAUGAAAGCUAUAUGUGCUGUGAGAGAGCUUUGCGUCCCAUUAGCUAGUUGGAGAGGUAACGGCUCACCAAGGCGAUGAUGGGUAGCCGGCCUGAGGGGGUGAACGGCCACAAGGGGACUGAGACACGGCCCUUACUCCUACGGGAGGCAGCAGUGGGGAAUAUUGGACAAUGGACCAAAAGUCUGAUCCAGCAAUUCUGUGUGCACGAUGACGUUUUUCGGAAUGUAAAGUGCUUUCAGUUGGGAAGAAAAAAAUGACGGUACCAACAGAAGAAGUGACGGCUAAAUACGUG
rnacentral:rRNA from 1 species